rnacentral:rRNA from 1 species
UACAGAGGGUGCGAGCGUUGUCCGGAAUCACUGGGCGUAAAGGCGCGUAGGUGGCCUGAUAAGUAGGGGUGAAAUCUCGUGGCUCAACUGCGAGGCUGCCUCCUAAACUGUCAGGCUCGAGCAGAGUAGAGGCAGGUGGAAUUCCCGGUGUAGCGGUGGAAUGCGUAGAGAUCGGGAAGAACAUCGGUGGCGAAGGCGGCCUGCUGGGCUCUUGCUGA